GGACUACACGGGUAUCUAAUCCUGUUCGCUCCCCACGCUUUCGCGCCUCAGCGUCAGUAUUGAGCCAGGUGGCUGCCUUCGCCAUCGACGUUCCUUCCGAUCUCUACGCAUUUCACCGCUACACCGGAAAUUCCGCCACCCUCUCUCAUACUCCAGUCAGGCCGUUUGCGAUGCACUUCCCAGGUUAAGCCCGGGGCUUUCACAUCACACUACCCUCACCGCCUACGCGCCCUUUACGCCCAGUAAUUCCGAUUAACGCUCGCACCCUCUGUAUUACCGCGGCUGCUGGCAC
rnacentral:rRNA from 1 species